CACGUGCAGAGAGUUAUGUGGAAUAGAAUGAUCAGUACUAGGUGGUACAGGUUAUAGAGCAGCUUUUCAAUUAUGGAACAGUAAAAGUAAAGCCUGGAAAUGUUGGCAGAGUCAAGGUAGCUUCUGAUAUUGACACAAAACUGAAGGAACUGUGCCCUAGGUCUCUUGCCUUCCCUGAACAUGUAGAGGUUCCUCUUCAUACAGCGAGGAUUUCAGAAAGCAGUGUUCAUGUAUCACAGCCUUCAAG